GCCUGGGUGGCUCAGUCGGUUAAGUGUCUGACUUCAACUCAGGUCGUGAUCUUGCAGAUUGUGGGUUCAAGCCCCGCAUCGGGCU
rnacentral:tRNA from 1 species